rnacentral:lncRNA from 1 species
CAAGGAGUUGUAAAUAAUUUGAAUUUUAAUGUCAGUGUAAAAUGAAACCACUGAAGGUUUUCAGGAGAGUGUGAGGCAUCCUGUUUACAUGCUGAGAGAAGACUCUAGCUAAUGCGUAGGGAAAGACUGGAUGGUGGAAGAGCAGCAGACAUUUAUGUAAGGGUUAGCGUUAGAGUUAGGUUAUUUCAGGAGCUCACUUAGACCAGGAAAGUGACAGCAGAGUUAAAUACUGAAGUGUUUUUUAGAGCAAGGAUUAGGAGAUGGACUUUUUCCUUCAAUUUCUUGCUUUUAUAAACAAUCAUGAUAUGGAUAUCCUUAUGAGUAUCUCUUGCUGCAUGUGUGCAAUUUUCUCCCCAGAGCAUAAGAUGAAGUAAAAAUUACGUGUUUUUGUGUUUGAUUUUUUGCCAUUUUCAUACUGAUUUGUGGGACAUCUUAUGAUCCGCUUAGCUCAUGGUGUCUUCAGUGGAUCUGUGUUGCUCCACCGAUGGGUUAUUGCUGGUCCACUACAAGGGCGGAAUCUUUGUUUACUCACUCUGAGUACAAAUGGAAAGUCUGGAUAAUUCUGAGCUUCUGUAUUUGGAAACCCAUUGUGGCUAUUCAUAUAAACUAUCUAGUUUAAUAAAAAUAAUGUUUGUGCUUCAUU